rnacentral:rRNA from 1 species
CGAUUAGGGUUCGAUUCUGGCUCAGGAUGAACGCUGGCGGCGUGCUUAACACAUGCAAGUCGAACGGGGGUUACUUCGUGGCGAUCUUCGGAUCAAAGCGAUAUAACUCGAGUGGCGGACGGGUGAGUAACACGUGAGUAACCUGCCUUUUGCUGGGGAAUAACUGUGGGAAACCAUGGCUAAUACCGCAUGUUGUGCAUGACAGGCAUCUGUUGUGUAUGAAAGGAGAGAUCCGGCAGAAGAUGGGCUCGCGUCCGAUUAGGUAGUUGGUGGGGUAACGGCCUACCAAGCCCGCGAUCGGUAGCCGGACUGAGAGGUCGAACGGCCACAUUGGGACUGAGACACGGCCCAGACUCCUACGGGAGGCAGCAGUGGGGAAUAUUGGGCAAUGGGCGAAAGCCUGACCCAGCGACGCCGCGUGAAGGACGAAGGCCUUCGGGUUGUAAACUUCUUUGGGGAGGGACGAAAAUGACGGUACCUCCAGAACAAGCCACGGCUAACUACGUGCCAGCAGCCGCGGUAAUACGUAGGUGGCAAGCGUUAUCCGGAUUUACUGGGUGUAAAGGGCGCGCAGGCGGCCCCAAAAGUCAGAUGUGAAAGAUCAAGGCUUAACUUUGACAUGUCAUCUGAAACUUUGGGACUUGAGUAUCAGAGGGGAAAGCGGAAUUCCUGGUGGAGCGGUAAAAUGCGCAGAGAUCAGGAGGAACACCGGUGGCGAAGGCGGCUUUCUGGCUGACAACUGACG